UGUAAGCGUAUACCAAAGUUGUUGCAGUUAAAACGCUCGUAGUCGGAAUUUGGCAGUUCCGGAUGUGUGCACGUCGUGUGCGCACUUCGCGGGGAUUGCUUUUGUGGUCUUGCGUAGGAUGAGGCACUUUUAUUAGUGAACGUCCUCACGCAACCACUUUUUACUGUGAGAAAAUCAGAGUGCUCAAAGCAGGCAUUUGCCGUGAAUGUAUUAGCAUGGAAUAAUAGAAUAGGACUCGGUUCUAUUUUGUUGGUUUGUUGGGACUGAGUAAUGAUUAAGAGGGACAGUUGGGGGCAUUUGUAUUCCGGCGCUAGAGGUGAAAUUCUUAGAUUGCCGAAAGACAAACUGCUGCGAAAGCGUCUGCCAAGGAUGUUUUCAUUGA
rnacentral:rRNA from 1 species